rnacentral:tRNA from 1 species
CCGGCGCUGGACGGCGAGCCUGCGCGGCGCGGUUUCGGGGGCCGCCGAUCCGGUCGAGGCGGUCGGGGCGGUCUUCGAGUGGCUGGCGCGGUG